GCAACAUUAAUCAGUGAUUCUUCUGCUAUAAUUGCAGGUUUUCGCUUUUGCAUUGUUGCUAGAAUAUCAUCUAUAGGGACAAGCUAUCAGCAGAAUACGAUGAUAAUCUAAAUCGUGUUCUUCUAAAGCCUUGUCUACAGCC
rnacentral:snoRNA from 1 species